rnacentral:tRNA from 1 species
GGGGCAGUAGUCUAGCUUGGUAAUUUCGCAAGAAUCCAUGGCGAGUGGUCGGGUGUUCGAAUCAUCCCUGCCCCA